rnacentral:misc_RNA from 1 species
GUACAUUAGUGCUUGCGCACAACAAUAGGUUUCAUUACAUUCGAGUUUGUGUAAAAUUCCUCUGCCGGCCGAAGCUAGCAAGAGGCCAGAGGUUCACAGGGUAUUGGAUGAAAGCCACCGACGUGCACUUGCCAGUUUCUGGCCAGCACAGAAGGCAACCAUUCGUAAUCAUUAAUGAUCCUUCCGCAGGUUCACCUACGGAAA